GUUGUUGCAGUUAAAAAGCUCGUAGUUGAAUUUCGGGAUCAAAGAAUCGGUCAUGCCUUGGUAUGUACUGGCUUUAUUGGUUCUCACCUUCUAAAGAACCAUAAUGUCAUUUAUUUGAUGUUAUGGGGAAUUAGGACUGUUACCUUGAAAAAAUUAGAGUGUUUAAAGCAAGCUUACGCUUGAAUACAUUAGCAUGGAAUAAUGAAAUAGGACAUCAGAUUCUAUUUUGUUGGUUUCUAGGAUCGAUGUAAUGAUUAAUAGGGAUAGUUGGGGGCAUUAGUAUUCAAUUGUCAGAGGUGAAAUUCUUGGAUUUAUUGAAGACUAACUACUGCGAAAGCAUUUGCCAAGGAUGUUUUCAUUAAUCAAGAACGAAAGUUAGGGGAUCGAGGACGAUCAGAUACCGUCGUAGUCUUAACCAUAAACUAUGCCGACUAGGGAUCGGAUGAUGUUAAUUUUAUAAUGACUCAUUCGGCGCCUUACGGGAAAC
rnacentral:rRNA from 1 species